UACGGGGGGGAGCAAGCGUUGUUCGGAUUUACUGGGCGUAAAGGGCGCGUAGGCGGCCACCGCAAGUCGACUGUGAAAUCUCCGGGCUUAACCCGGAAAGGUCAGCCGAUACUGCGGGGCUAGAGUGCAGAAGGGGCAACUGGAAUUCUCGGUGUAGCGGUGAAAUGCGUAGAUAUCGAGAGGAACACCUGCGGCGAAGGCGGGUUGCUGGGCUGACACUGACGCUGAUGUGCGAAAGCUAGGGGAGCGAACGGG
rnacentral:rRNA from 1 species